GCCUCCUGUAGCUCAGUCAGUAGAGCAUGAGACUCUUAACCCCAGGGUUGUGGGUUCAAGUCCCAUGUUGGGCA
rnacentral:tRNA from 1 species